rnacentral:rRNA from 1 species
ACGAUGAAUCUUCUAGCUUGCUAGAAGUGGAUUAGUGGCGCACGGGUGAGUAAUGCUUAGGUUAUGUGCCCUUUAGUCUGGGAUAGCCACUGGAAACGGUGAUUAAUACUGGAUACUCCCUACGGGGGAAAGUUUUUCGCUAAAGGAUCAGCCUAUGUCCUACCAGCUUGUUGGUGAGGUAAUGGCUCACCAAGGCUAUGACGGGUAUCCGGCCUGAGAGGGUGAUCGGACACACUGGAACUGAGACACGGUCCAGACUCCUACGGGAGGCAGCAGUAGGGAAUAUUGCUCAAUGGGGGAAACCCUGAAGCAGCAACGCCGCGUGGAGGAUGAAGGUUUUAGGAUUGUAAACUCCUUUUGUUAGAGAAGAUUAUGACGGUAUCUAACGAAUAAGCACCGGCUAACUCCGUGCCAGCAGCCGCGGUAAUACGGAGGGUGCAAGCGUUACUCGGAAUCACUGGGCGUAAAGAGUGCGUAGGCGGGGUAAUAAGUCAGAUGUGAAAUCCUGUAGCUUAACUACAGAACUGCAUUUGAAACUGUUACUCUGGAGUGUGGGAGAGGUAGGUGGAAUUCUUGGUGUAGGGGUAAAAUCCGUAGAGAUCAAGAGGAAUACUCAUUGCGAAGGCGACCUGCUGGAACAUUACUGACGCUGAUGCACGAAAGCGUGGGGAGCAAACAGGAUUAGAUACCCUGGUAGUCCACGCCCUAAACGAUGGAUGCUAGUUGUUGCCUUGCUUGUCAGGGCAGUAAUGCAGCUAACGCAUUAAGCAUCCCGCCUGGGGAGUACGGUCGCAAGAUUAAAACUCAAAGGAAUAGACGGGGACCCGCACAAGCGGUGGAGCAUGUGGUUUAAUUCGAAGAUACGCGAAGAACCUUACCUAGGCUUGACAUUGAUAG